AGCUAUGGGACGGUCACAAACAUGCAGCCUUAUCUAGCAUUGCUUGAAGGCUAUUCCCCUACUUUAGACCCAUGAGCAGGUGAAAGUGAAGCAACCUCAUCAUUGCAGUACGGUCACCCUCAGUUUCAGGCAAAUGGAUGUGUACCUAGGAAUGUAUUGAAGUCAAUUGCACAUCAUAUCAUAAUAACUUCAAGACUGAAGUUAUAAAUAUCAAUACACCAUGUAAAUGGAUGGGGUAAUUGAAUCUAAAGGUAAUAAGCCUUCCUACUAGACAUGGCCACAGGCUGGUUCAGGUCCGAUUCCGGGUCAGAACUGUCAGUUAAGCCAGCUUCAAAGUUCUGCACGGUUCUGGUUUGAAACGGUUUCAGUUCAAAAUGGUUCCGGACGAUUCCUGUUCGGCCCUAUGUAUCAUCAAACUAUGAUAAAUUUUUAGAUAUCAUUUAUAAACUAAAUAAUUUAGUUUCUAAUGUAUCAAAAAAAAACCCAAAUAUAAAUUUUAGAAAACUAAAUAAAACAAGUUUUUGAAUGGGGUCAAUUCCGGUUUGAACAACCGGCUGAUUCCGGGCUCAAUUCAAGGGGGGAGGGCCCUUAACCG
rnacentral:misc_RNA from 1 species